UGCAGAGUGUUUCCCCUUUGGCGUCACUUUUCAAAUGGAAAAGAUUUCCGAUGCCACCAUGAACCAGACAUACUGCAGAGUUACAGAGCCUUUCUCUUGAAAGCUGUCAUGAAAUAAAUACGUGUAUGAGGUUAUAAAAAUGGGGUUUGCAUAAACUGUCCUCUUUCAGCAAACAUUUCACUUCCUAUAAUUGUGUGUGCUUUUGUUUGAACUUAUCAAAUAUGUGAUUGUUCUCCUUCAGGGAGAUAAGAAAUCCACGCUCCGGAUAUGCAGAAUGAUGAUGUUGUAAUCACUCUUCAAAAGGAGAUCCACAGUAAACAAAUGUUGUGAGUCUGUCGCCUCUGCAGCUUCUUUCAGUGAGCUGCAGCACUUCCAGAAAACAGCUGGGACUAUGAGAUACUUCUAGACACAGAAUGCCUUCAAGUAGCUGCAUUUUCCAGUGGAGUAUCCUUGCAUGAAGGAGCAUACAGGUACCAUACCAGGAGGGUCAGCUCUCUCCAGCUGAGGAAAUGAACCUGCAGGGAAACAGAACUAAAUGCAAGAGUCAGCUUCCUUGCACAUUCCUCUGAAACAGCUGGUGCUGGCAUUUGCCCUCUGCAGAACGGUGGCCCAGAGCUGCGAUGCAGGCUGUGGAGGCAGAAGCCUAUUCCAACGCAGGCUCCGUGGCUCCGCAACUGCUGGACGAGGACUCUCCUCUGCUGAGUGCUGCCCUUACACAAACAACUGCCUUCAAGCUUUUAAAGCAAAAAAAAAAAAAAAAAGAAAAAAACGAAGGUGGAAAAAUAACCUGUCUUAGAUAAAGCACCUUGGGAAGAAGCUCCAGAGGUUUGUUUCAGCAGAAAAAGCUGUGCUGAAACAGCGUUUGCAGAUGCGAAAGGCUUUGUCAACACCAGCAAAUCACUACUUCUGCCUCUGCAAGGUCAGCUUUUGAAGGCAAUGUGCCCGAGACCACAGCUCCA